rnacentral:rRNA from 1 species
GCUUACGACCACACCGGCCUGAGUACGCCUGAUCUCGUCUGAUCUCGGAAGCUAAGCAGGGUCGGGCCUGGUUAGUACUUGGAUGGGAGGAGACCGCCUGGGAAUACCAGGUGCUGUAAGCU